AGAGUUUGAUCAUGGCUCAGAACGUACGCUGGCGGCACGCCUAAUACAUGCAAGUCGAACGAAGUAGCAAUACUUAGUGGCAGACGGGUGAGUAACAUGUAGGUAUCUACCCUAUGGUGAGGAAUAACACGAGGAAACUUGUGCUAAUACCUCAUAAGUCUUUACGGAGAAAGCUUUAUGCGCCGAUGGAUGAGCCUGCACUUGAUUAGUUUGUUGGUAGGGUAAUGGCCUACCAAGACAAUGAUCAAUAGCUGAUUUGAGAGGAUGAUCAGCCACAUUGGGACUGAGACACGGCCCAAACUCCUACGGGAGGCAGCAGUAGGGAAUCUUGCACAAUGGGGGAAACCCUGAUGCAGCGAUGCCGCGUGAGUGAAGAAGGCCUUUGGGUUGUAAAGCUCUUUCGUCGGGGAAGAAAAUGACUGUACCCGAAUAAGAAGGUCCGGCUAACUUCGUGCCAGCAGCCGCGGUAAUACGAAGGGACCUAGCGUAGUUCGGAAUUACUGGGCUUAAAGAGUUCGUAGGUGGUUAAAAAAGUUGGUGGUGAAAUCCCAGAGCUUAACUCUGGAACUGCCAUCAAAACUUUUUAGCUAGAGUAUGAUAGAGGAAAGCAGAAUUUCUAGUGUAGAGGUGAAAUUCGUAGAUAUUAGAAAGAAUACCGAUUGCGAAGGCAGCUUUCUGGAUCAUUACUGACACUGAGGAACGAAAGCAUGGGUAGCGAAGAGGAUUAGAUACCCUCGUAGUCCAUGCCGUAAACGAUGUGUGUUAGACGUUGGAAAUUUAUUUUCAGUGUCGCAGCGAAAGCGAUAAACACACCGCCUGGGGAGUACGACCGCAAGGUUAAAACUCAAAUGAAUUGACGGACCCGCACAAGUAGUGGAGCAUGUGGUUUAAUUCGAAGAUACGCGCAGAACCUUACCAACACUUGACAUGUUCGUCGCGACUUUAAGAGAUUAAAGUUUUCGGUUCGGCCGGACGAAACACAGGUGCUGCAUGGCUGUCGUCAGCUCGUGUCGUGAGAUGUUGGGUUAAGUCCCGCAACGAGCGCAACCCUCACUUUCAGUUGCCAUCAGGUUAUGCUGGGUACUCUGGAGAGACUGCCGGUGAUAAGCCGGAGGAAGGCGGGGAUGACGUCAAGUCCUCAUGGCCCUUAUGACCUGGGCUACACACGUGCUACAAUGGCGUUGACAAUGAGCAGCGAUGGCGCAAGCUUCAGCUAAUCUCAAAAAUCCGUCUCAGUUCGGAUUGAACUCUGCAACUCGAGUUCUUGAAGUUGGAAUCGCUAGUAAUCGCAGAUCAGCAUGCUGCGGUGAAUACGUUCCCGGGCCUUGUACACACCGCCCGUCACACCAUGGAAGUUGGUUUUACCCAAAGACGACGCGCUAACCGCAAGGAGGCAGUCGGCCACGGUAAGGUCAGCGACUGGGGUGAAGUCGUAACAAGGU
rnacentral:rRNA from 1 species